CAGGCCUAACACAUGCAAGUCGAACGGCAGCACGGACUUCGGUCUGGUGGCGAGUGGCGAACGGGUGAGUAAUGUAUCGGAACGUACCUUUCAGUGGGGGAUAACGUAGCGAAAGUUACGCUAAUACCGCAUAUUCUGUGAGCAGGAAAGCAGGGGAUCGCAAGACCUUGCGCUGAUUGAGCGGCCGAUAUCAGAUUAGCUAGUUGGUGAGGUAAAGGCUCACCAAGGCGACGAUCUGUAGCGGGUCUGAGAGGAUGAUCCGCCACACUGGAACUGAGACACGGUCCAGACUCCUACGGGAGGCAGCAGUGGGGAAUUUUGGACAAUGAGGGCAACCCUGAUCCAGCCAUGCCGCGUGAGUGAAGAAGGCCUUCGGGUUGUAAAGCUCUUUCGGCCGGGAAGAAAUCGCAUGGGUUAAUACCCUGUGCGGAUGACGGUACCGGCAUAAGAAGCACCGGCUAACUACGUGCCAGUAGCCGCGGUAAUACGUAGGGUGCGAGCGUUAAUCGGAAUUACUGGGCGUAAAGCGUGCGCAGGCGGUUUUGUAAGACAGGCGUGAAAUCCCCGGGCUCAACCUGGGAACUGCGCUUGUGACUGCAAGGCUAGAGUAUGGCAGAGGGGGGUGGAAUUCCACGUGUAGCAGUGAAAUGCGUAGAGAUGUGGAGGAACACCAAUGGCGAAGGCAGCCCCCUGGGCCAAUACUGACGCUCAUGCACGAAAGCGUGGGUAGCAAACAGGAUUAGAUACCCUGGUAGUCCACGCCCUAAACGAUGUCAACUAGGUGUUGGGUGGGUAAAACCAUUUAGUACCGGAGCUAACGCGUGAAGUUGACCGCCUGGGGAGUACGGCCGCAAGGUUAAAACUCAAAGGAAUUGACGGGGACCCGCACAAGCGGUGGAUGAUGUGGAUUAAUUCGAUGCAACGCGAAAAACCUUACCUACCCUUGACAUGUCCAGGAGCCUGAAGAGAUUUGGGUGUGCCCGAAAGGGAACUGGAACACAGGUGCUGCAUGGCUGUCGUCAGCUCGUGUCGUGAGAUGUUGGGUUAAGUCCCGCAACGAGCGCAACCCUUGUCGUUAAUUGCCAUCAUUUAGUUGGGCACUUUAACGAGACUGCCGGUGACAAACCGGAGGAAGGUGGGGAUGACGUCAAGUCCUCAUGGCCCUUAUGGGUAGGGCUUCACACGUCAUACAAUGGUCGGUACAAAGGGUUGCCAAGCCGCGAGGUGGAGCCAAUCCCAGAAAGCCGAUCGUAGUCCGGAUCGCAGGCUGCAACUCGCCUGCGUGAAGUCGGAAUCGCUAGUAAUCGUGGAUCAGCAUGUCGCGGUGAAUACGUUCCCGGGCCU
rnacentral:rRNA from 1 species